UGGUGGAGUGAUUUGUCUGGUUAAUUCCGUUAACGAACGAGACCUCGACCUGCUAAAUAGUUCGGUCCACACUUCGGUGUGGAUAAAUUAACGUGACUUCUUAGAGGGACUAUCGGUGUGUAGCCGAUGGAAGUUCGAGGCAAUAACA
rnacentral:rRNA from 1 species